AGAACGAACGCUGGCGGCGUGCCUAACACAUGCAAGUCGAGCGCGAAAAGGGCAACCUGAGUAGAGCGGCGCGCGGGUGCGUAACACGUGGGUAAUCUGCCUUAGAGUCAGGGAUAACUUUCCGAAAGGUUAGCUAAUACCUGGUAAGCUUACGGUGUCUACGGACAUUGUGGGAAAAGUAGGCCUCUAUUUAUAAGCUUACGCUCUGAGAUGAGCCCGCGGCCCAUCAGCUAGUUGGCGGGGUAACGGCCCACCAAGGCAACGACGGGUAGCUGGUCUGAGAGGACGAUCAGCCACACUGGAACUGAGACACGGUCCAGACUCCUACGGGAGGCAGCAGUGGGGAAUUUUCCACAAUGGGCGAAAGCCUGAUGGAGCAACGCCGCGUGUGUGAUGAAGGUUUUCGGAUCGUAAAGCACUUUCGACCGGGACGAAAAACCUCUGGCUAACAUCCAGGGGCCUGACGGUACCGGGAGAAGAAGCACCGGCUAACUCUGUGCCAGCAGCCGCGGUAAUACAGAGGGUGCAAGCGUUGUUCGGAAUUAUUGGGCGUAAAGCGCGUGUAGGCGGCUUGGCAAGUCAGAUGUGAAAGCCCUCGGCUUAACCGAGGAAGUGCGUCUGAAACUGCUGAGCUUGAGUGUCGGAGAGGAUGGCGGAAUUCCGCAAGUAGAGGUGAAAUUCGUAGAUAUGCGGAGGAACACCGGUGGCGAAGGCGGCCAUCUGGACGACUACUGACGCUGAGACGCGAAAGCGUGGGGAGCAAACAGGAUUAGAUACCCUGGUAGUCCACGCUGUAAACGAUGAGAACUAGGUGUCGUGGGUGUUGACCCCCGCGGUGCCGCAGCUAACGCAUUAAGUUCUCCGCCUGG
rnacentral:rRNA from 1 species